AGUAUCGGUAAGGGGAGCUAGGGAGGCCAGCUGAGAUUUAGACCCGAUAAGGUCUACGACCUGUAACCUGAUCUGGGUAACGCCAGCGUAGGGAAUGCAGCAGAUUUUCUAA
rnacentral:ncRNA from 1 species